UUCAUCGAAAGAUCAUUUAUUUCAAAUUUACCUACUAAUUUUUGAGUUUGAUUAGAAUUCAAAAUAUAUCCUAUAAAUGAUUAUAAAACUUAACAAACAUAAUAUAUUUUACACUUUAUUUCAUACACAACAUCCAUUUUACAUUAGAAAAAAGCCAUAAGACAUACAUUGUAUUUAUUUUAACAAAACAAGAGCCAUUAAACUUGGACAUUUCUCUCGUAAUAAAAUAAAAGUUGUAUUUAAUCUUCGCCACUGCGAUCUGCAUUGAUCUCAUCAAGAAUCACCACAAGAGCUGUUAUAAAGGCAUAGUCAACAUUAGGAUACACAGUCACUCCAAAACUGUCUGUAUCCAAAAUAGUACUUGCGAGAGAAUGUUUUCUAUGCAUCUGCAUUUACGUGAAAAAAACAAUAUUAGUAUGAGCUCUUCUGAAGAUAAAUUUCAUGAUUAAAAUAGGAUAUAUUAACCAAUUAGAAGCCUUUCAAUUUGCAAUAAAUAAAGGGUAGGGCAACAAGUUCCAAAUUAACCAAAAUGUAAAACUCGAAUAUUAUAAGUGCGGGUGUGAAUAAAAGAAAUUCUCAAACAAUAUUAUUGUUCUUAUUAAUCGUUUAAACUAUGUUAUGAAAGUACAAAAAAGGUAAAUUGAAAAACGUAAAAUAGUAUAUCUAAUGUGAAAAUAUUUCUAAAAACUUGUAUGGUGCACUAUUUUAAAACCUUACCCAUCAAGUAUCAAGUUAAGUGGUUUACGUCGGUCAGGGUUUAAUAAAAUUAAAAAUAUAAUUUUAAUAUAAUCUUUUCUCAUAUAACUCCUGGCUCUGUUAGUCAAAGUAAAACUCAGUCAUAACUAAUUGAUCCUUUUUUUUUAGUUUUUUUUUCAAUAAUCAUUUUUUUUUAUGAAACAAUUAAUUAACCUCGAGAUCUAUAAAUUUCCCCAAGUCAAGUUUACAAAAUUAUAGCAUCAUAAAUAAAAUAACAAUAAUUGAAAUUAAAAAUCCAUUGGAUGCAAACCACUAUAUUCAAUGUUUCUUAGUAAUGGUCUUUUGAUACUAUUUAAAAUUAAUAAUUAUUAAUAACAAAAUAAUUCUCCUUGAAAAGUUACCAAUUACUAAGACUCAAAAUACUAUUUAUUAUAUAGUAUGAGUAUAAAAUUACCCUUGAAAAAAAAAAGCAUUGAAUUAAGCAUUAAGGAUCAUGUAGUCUUUUCACAAUGAUAUAAUUGUCUUUUAUAAAUUUUAUAAAGUUAGACAGGCCAUUUCUAUUUUAUGCACAUUAAAAUUAUUAAUUUAACCCUAUUAUAAAAAAUAUUUAAUGCCUAUUAUUACGGGUUUUUUUAUCUUUUAAUUUUUUUAAAACAGUGUAAUUAUUUUAAUAUCCUUGAUAAAAAAUCAACAUCUCUCUUAUAAGGGUGUUUUUUUUUUUGUCAUUUCACAUUAGUUUUAUUAUAAAUUCCAAUGUUAUUCAAGGGCAUUGUUGUCAUUUACAUUAAUUAAAUGUAAUUAAAAAAAAUUAUUGGCACAUGUAAAUGACCCCGCAUUGUUUGGGCAACGUGUAUGGGAUCAUCUGGCCACCAAACACUAUAUUUUGAAAUGGCCUUUAAAAGGUCUUAACUACUUUGAACUUCACGUCAACAAUUUAUUUCUUCUUCACAUCUGGUCAUUGUCCUUUUAAUUACUAUUAUUUCUAUUUUAAAUAAGCCAUGGAAUUACAAAUGUUUUUUUCAUUUCACCCUCGUUUUAUUUUGUUAUCUUUCAAAUUUGUUCCUCAUUCUUUUAUUACAAUUUUUACUUUAUUUUUAAUAAGCUAUAAAAUUACGGGUUUUCCCAAUUUCACCAUGUUAUUUUUUCUUUCUUUUAAAUUUGAUUUUUAUUCUUUUGAUUCUUAUUUAAUUUGAUUAGGAUUAUCUUUUAGGUUUUUUUUUUUUUACAAUUUCAUUCUCCAUUGGUUUUAAUUUGAUCCCUAUUAUUUUUAUUGCUAUCUUUUUUCCUUUGUUAAGUUUUUUAAAAUUGAUAAUUAUUUCUUGAUUUUAUCAUUCAAGAUUAAAUUGAUUGGAGAUUAAACUUCUUGAUUGAACCCGAAUCAAGGAUUUCAUGGAUUGUAAGUUUUAGAUAUUAAACACGGUUUAGGAGGUUUGCUCAUGCUAGCUUGGUUUGUUUGUUUCCUUUUUUAAAACUAAUGUUUUUUAUUUUUAUUUUAAACCUCUUAUUUUUUAUAAUUUUACUUUAUUAUUUUUUAUGAUAUGUUUUCUAUGAGAUUAGUUUUAGGUUCAUUACCAAAGUUACAAAUUUAAAUGGUUAACAUGAGUUAACUUUUUUUUUUCUAGAUUCUUUUUUCAAAUUAAUUUAUUUCAAUUUUAUUUUUUAAUAUUUAAUUUAUUUGAAAUUUAUCUUUCUACCCCUUUUUGUUUGUUUUACUUUCACUAGGUUAUGUUGAUCCUAUUCAUAUGAUCGCAGGAUUUGAGGGUUAACCCAGGUUAACUCAUAUAUUUUUUUUAUUGCUAUGAGGUUAGUCUCAAGUUCACAACUAGAGUCACCGGUUUGAAAGGUUAACAUGAAUUCAUGUUUUUUUGUCUAUAUUUUAAAUUGGAUUAUUUCAAUUUUAUUGUUCAAUAUUUGAUUUAUUAAAAAAAAAAAUUUAUAAUUUUUUUCUCUUUCCUUUAUAUUAGGUUCCGAUCAUUUUUUGGGUUGUUUUUUUCUAAACAAUUAUCCUUCAUGGUUUUUUUCCUAUGAAAUUCGAUCCUUAUUUUUUUUAUUACUAUGUUUUUUUUUGGAAAGUUUUUAAAAUUGAUGUAUUCUUCAUUAUUUCACCAUUUAAAAUUAAAUUGGUUAGAAAUUAAGCUCUUCUUGGUUGAACUCGGUUAAAGGAUUUCAUGAUUUUUAUGAUUGUGAGUUUAUGAAUUAACUUGGGUUGCCUCAUAUUUUUUUCCUAUUGUUUUAUUACUUUAUUUAUUUCCAUUCUUCAAUAUUAAGUUGUUCGAUAAUUGAGUUUCAUGAUUUUAUUUAAUCUCUUUUGAACAUGGUCACCCUAAUAUUACCACUAGAUUAGAGAUUUUACAACUUGAUUUGGGCAGGCUCGAAUAGUGUUUUUUCCAACAUUUUUCAAAUGUUUUUUUAAUUUUCAUUUUCAUUAUUUUCUUUACUAGAUAUUGAACUUCAUUUUUUUUUUUAGAGUUAUCAUAUUUCUAUUUAAUUUAUUAGGAAUUGAUUUUUAAUUUUUUAUAUAUAUUGUUUCAAUGAGAUUAUCUCAUCUCAUGUGAAUGUUCAUAAAAUUUACAAGUUAUUCCAGUUUUUUAUAAAAUUUUUUUGUUUCUUAAUUCUUUUUUUCAAUUUAACCUUUAGCAUUGGCUUGUUUUAUCAUCCAAGUUGGUUGAACCAUACCGAGUUUCUCCUUCGAUUGACUUAGAAGAAAAUUUGAAUUUUCUUGUUUUCAAUGAUAAUCUUGUUGAUGUUGAUGCAGAGGAGUUGAAUGUUGUUUUGAGUUCUAGUGGACUAAAGAAUGUUGGUGAAGAAGAUGAUAACCACAUUGAAGAGUGCGAUGAAGCUGAUAACAAUUCAAUUGAGGACGAAGAUGAAAAUUCUGACUAAAUAUGCUGUAAGAACUUUUUUUUAUAAUGUAUUAUUAUGGAUGAUAUUUUGGAACAUGAAAUAUUUAUUUUAUAAUUGUUUGCUCUUGUUAUUGUGUUGUGCGUGUUGUAAGUUUGCAAUUUAAUCAUUUGUGGAGGAGGAUAGACAAGCAAUAUAAACAAAGCAGGCAAAAGCUUGACACAAACACCGACAGAUUGUAUGCCGUCGGUAUUUUACCGAGAGUUGCAAAAAAAUUACAGCAUUGUGCCACAAUCACCGACGGUUAUACCGACAGAAUAUGUCCCGUCGGUAUUUUACCAAGAGUUGCAAAAAAGUUACAACAUUGUGCCACAAUCACUAACAACUAUACCGACAUAAUCUGUCCCGUCGAUAUUUUACCAAGACUAGUAAAAAAAUUACAGCCCUUGCCAUAAUCACCGACGUGUUUCCUAACAAAAUCACCAAUGAAUGGUGCACAUUCCAAUAUAUGCAACUGUCAGACUGCCUGGUUGGUCCGCACAGUUACCAACGGAAUCACCGACAGACGCGACAAAUCCAAUGCGUCUAUGCUCUGACACCUUUUUACCGAAGGAUUUUGAAAAAUCUGGAGGGAUUUUUUUGAAAUUUUAGUGUGAAAUUCAAAACAAUAUCGACGAAAAUUACCGACGGAAUUUAAUGCCACUACCCAAAAAAUAUUUUUCUAUGAUCCGUCGGGAAUUCCGUCGGUAAAAUUGCAGUAUAAAACCGACCCCCUCCGCGGUUUAUUUUUUCUCAGCUCCUCUCAUUUCUUCUCUUCUUCUCCUGCAAAUCCUUUGCGUUUCUCAUUGUAUUUUUAUUGUUUUGAUUGUAGUUUCCAACAUAUUAAAAUGUAUGAUUCUCCUUUCUUUAUCUUUGUAAUUUUUUACUUUUUUUAUUUUAAUUAUGAUUAUUUUUGUGGUGUUCUUUGUUUUGUGUAUUGUAUGUAAAUAAAAUCUUGAAAUCAACACACUAUUAAGGUAAACAUUUUUCAUUCCUAAAGUCUUUAGUUUUUUCUUUUUAUUUGUUCAAUUUAUUUUAUUGUUUGUAUUGCCAUAAUAAUUGAAAAUUUUGUUAAAUUUGAAUUGGUAUUGUUGAAUUUACCUUUAAAAUGUUAAUUGAAAUAUAGAAUUAAAUUUAAUUAGUUUAUCUUAAUUUUAUUAUAUUAUUGCAUGUUAUGUUUUUUUUUAUUAUUUCGAUUAAUUUUAAUUGUUUUUUAUGAAUUUGUAUUGAUGUUAGUUGAAAAUAUAUACAUGUUGAAUUUCUAUAGAUGUUAGGUUGUAUAGAGUUGAUUUUGCAAUAUUUGUGUAAUUAUCAAUAUUUAUAGGUAUGAAAACUGUGGGUACUCUCUAAUAUAAGAGAGGUGAUGGUGAAUUUUUUUAAAUAAUUGAAUUUAGUUAUUUAAUUAUUCGUAUAAAUUUGUGUGGAUGUGUUAAAUGAAAAUUUAAUUAUUUUAUUGUUUGUAUUGUAAUAAUUAUUUGAAAAUUUAAUCUCUUUUAAUUGUUAUUGUUGAAUUUUCCAUGAAAAUGGUAAUUGGAAAUGAAGAAUUAAAUUUCAUUGUUUUAUCUCAAUUUUAUUCUAUUAUUGAUUGUUAUGUUGUUUUAUUAUUUCCAUUAAAUUUAAUUGUCAUUUAUGCAUUUCUAUAGAUGUUAGUUGAAAAUAUAUAGAUGUUAAAUUUGUAUAGAUGCUAGGUUAUAUAUAAGAUUUUUCAAUGGAGUCAAUUGGUUUGUGGUUAUUGUAAAGAUUUGCAGGUUUGAAAACUAUUAGUAGUCUCCAGUAUAGAGGAGGUGCUGUCGAUUUUUUUUUUUAAAUAAUCAAAGUUAAUUAUGUAAUUAUUCGUAUAAAUUUGUGUAGAUACAUAGAAUAAAAUCAACAGCAUGUCAUCACCAAAUAAUUGUAGCUAGUUCUUCUAGUAGCGACGAUGACUUAUCCUUAACUGGCGAUCAGGAACAGGCACCUGCAUCCACUCGUGAGGCUGCCUCUUCCAGCGCACCUUCAUAGUGCAAAGGCGGUGUGCCUUCAUAGAGUGGUCAAUUUACUCGCAAGUACUAGACACAUGGGAAAUACGACCUUUCAAUAUGAGUUUGUUUUGGUUUUAGUUUUUUUUUUUUUAUAUAUAUAUAUAUAUACUUAUAACAUAAUUUAUGAACAAGUAAUUAAUAUUUUAUUAUUUUUAUUUAUUUUCAGGUUCACAAAUAUUGAGAUCACCCAAGUAAUAACAUCGGCGUUUAAAUUGUUGAUGGAGAUUCCAUUGUAUCAAUAAAGACAGCUUUCCAAACAUCCUAAUUGGAGACCUUAUAUCGAUGCAUGGUUUUGAAGAUUAUAGGUAGGUGUUAACUUCUAAUUUCCAUCUUAUCAUUAAUAAAUUAUUUUUAUAAUUUUAUAUCUCGUACUAUUUUUAUUUUAAAUAAAUUACUUAUACAAAACACAAGUUUGAGUGGGAUAUCGUGCAUGACAAAGUUGUGAGGAGCGUAUGGGUGAAUCACGCGGCAAAUAAGUAACAUCGAAAACAAUAUAAUAUUUUAUUUUAAAAUUUAAUUUGUCACUAUGGAAGUAGGUUGCGUGAUUUUUGGUAUGACACACAAAAAAAACCAAAAAAUUUGCGAGAGAUAACGAUCUACAAGGCUGAUAUGACGUGGUGAUUUGGAGGGAUUUCAAACCACCAUACAUCCCGGGGGAUAUAUGGCCGUAAUAUAUUGAGCACGUUAUGUCUGAGCAGUUCAAACGAUGCUUAUAGUCCCGUGCCGACAACCAAAACCUGCAAAUUCAUGGUUUGGUGACCACGCACAGCUGCGACUCUGUUUUGUACAGUGCAUAUGCAAAGCGUAUGGUAAGAUUCAUUUAAAUGAAAUAUAUUGUUAAUUAAUUUGUUGUUACUUAUAAAUACGUUUAACUUGAAACAUUUUUUUUCUUACAGGCUACGUCUCUUGGACGUGAGCCGAGCCCAAUAGAGCUGUUUGGAGAGACGCAUGUGCGAAGUUAAAACCUCCAAAAGGGGGUGCAACAGUUCGAGGACAACCGUGCUCAACAUUUCAUGGUAUGUUCGUUCAACCAUUUUAUUUCGUAAGUUAUUAUUUUCUUGAAUUGAAUAAGAUGAUUUCUUUUUUAAUUUUCAGGAGACCUAUAAUAACCGAUUGAGGGAGAGAUACGAGGAUGAUCCUUCGACCCAUCCGGAUUUCAAUCAAGAUUUGUGGAUGGAGGUAGGAUCGUCUGGUGGACCUGAUAAAAAUCGGGUGUAUGGGCUCUCCAACACUACGGCCGAGAACUUGCGGGCGGCCCAUAGUGUCUCAAUCGCUGGGAGCUUCCAAUUAGUAUCAAGCAACCAGUCUGAGGAGUUCAUGGCCUUGAAACAACAAUAGAACGACUUUCGACGGAUUAUGAACAACUACGCCAAAUAGUCAUGGACAUUAAAUCACAGAAGGAUGAUACAUGUGUGCCCCUUUUUUGGCCAUUUGGUCCCGGAAAUAACCAGCCUCCUCCUCCUCCUCCUCCUUCUCCGGCUCUACCAUUGUUCUAGUUUAUUUUUUUUGGAAACACAUUAAAUUUAUAAUGAAUAUUUGGAUUAAUAUGAUUUAACUUUAUUUUUAUAUUUUUAAUGUUUCAUACAAUUUUAUUUGCAUAAUUGGUAUUUUACAAAGAGUUGAAAAAUAUUUACUACAUAUGCCAUUAUCAUCGACGUCUACACCAAUGGCCAAAGACCAUCAGUAUUUUACAGAGAGUUGCUAAGUAUUUACUGCCUAUGCCACAUUCACCGACAAAACUUUUCCGUCGGUGAGUUACCGUUGGAAAUACAGACUGAAUUAUUCCAUUUGUAUAUUUAUAGUGGAAUUUUUUUUUUACACGCUUUUUUUGUCUAUAUGACUGUCGGUGUUUAUUUUUUUUAUCAAUAAAAUUAGCGACAAAAAGAGAAAUUACUAACGAUCUAAAUGCCGACAAACAGUUUCUGUCAGUGACUUUUACCAAUGAAGUGUGUUUUUUACGCUGACGAAGCAACUCCAUCGAUAACACUGUGAACGGCGUUCAUGGUCGCUUCUUUCUCAUUGAUCCUGUCCAGAAUCACCACCAUAAGAGCCACUAUGAAGGCAUAAUCAACAUUAGGCAUGAUCGCGAGAAUGUGUUUUCCAUGCACCUGCGUUCACAUAAUAAGAGAAAUACUGGCAUGAGAUGUUAAUUAUGAAGACAACUUUCUUGAUUAAAACAAUAAUCGGUUUUAAUGUAAAUGAUGUCAUGACAUCUGGGGUAUUUCUACGACAGCCUCAGCCACAGACAUAUAACUAUAUUAAAAUGAUGGAUAUAUUAUCAAGGUUUUGAUUUAAUUUAGUAUUGUUUAAAACUUUUUACUUUAUAUAAAAAUCAUUAUAUAUUUGUAUUUUUUUUUUAUUAAUUCAUGUACAAUAAAUUAAAAAAAUAUGAUAUCUUAUUCUAUUAAUUUUGACCCCAAGUAAAUAAUCCUAGCUCCACCCUGCAUAUAGUUCUGUAUGAGAAGAUGAUGUUGGUUAAAUUUAUUACAUAUUGUCAUAUUUCAUAAAUAAGUUUUGUUAAUGUUACUUGUGCAAGCAUGGUAUUGGAAUCUCCAAGAAGUAUAGAGCAGGAACUCUCGCUGUAGCCUUCUUUGACCUUGAAAUCAGGGACCUCUCCUUUGUUAUUACCCAAGAAUACGUCUAACUCAGUCUUGAAUUGGAACAGCUUUGAUUUCUUGGCUGUGAAAAGCAAGUCUUUCUCCUCCUUGCUUUCUCCUCUAAAAGCUUCCCACCUUCGAUGCAUGGUAAUUAUCUGGAGAAAAGGAUAACACGCAGCAAGCCAUAUCAUUGAAGAAGAAGAAAGCAAAUGAAAUGAUCAAUUAAGCAUACCUUCUGCCUGAGAUUGGCAAGGGUGUUCCCAGCAGCAUCUUUCAGAAAACGACGAUCUUGCAAGCUUAAGACUUUACUCUUGACUUGGAAGAUGAGGAUGCCAUUAAUGUCAGACACCUUAAAAUCAUUCUCUCCAACACUCCAUAGCUUUGUGGAGACGGCGAGUUCAACAGGGUACUGUGCCAGGUACUGUGGCCCUAUUACCACCACUGGAUGCUCCGCCGGCGGGUAUGUUCUCAUAGCAGGAACGGGGUUGCUUGGUGCUUGCCCAGUAGCCAUAAUCACAAAAACACAAUAUUACUUGGAGAAUUAAACAGAGAAAAAUAGCUAAAUUUCUAUAUCAGGCAGGUCUUGAUUGUUUUUAGAAGUAGUCUUUGAGGGAGAACGGUGGAUGUCUUUUAUAGUGCCAAUUAACAAGUGGCAUGUUGUGUCUUUAAAUAAAAAACACGAGUGGCAUGCCCAUGCCCUGUAGGGGAUUUAUAAAAAAAAUAUACUUAAUAGUAUUAUAAUUAUGAACAAGCACUAGAUAAGUAAUAAAAACUAAAGGUAUGAUGAAGUCAAUAUUUCAUGAUGGAAAAAAAAAGUUGUAUUGGUGAUAAAAAAAUUUAAAGACCGAACAAAAUGAUUGUUUUCGCCAUAUUUUUUAGUUUUUUUACUAAUAAAAAGAAAAACAAAUACAAAGCUAAAUUCUCUACCAACUUAAUAUUAAAAAAAACCAACAGAUAAUCUUUGAAGGAAAAAAACCCAUGAGAAAAAACGUUGUAGCAAUCAACAAUGUUUUGUGAGGAAAACUACAGUGUUUUCUCUAAUAAAAUCGACAAAAAUAAUUUUAGAAAAAAUCAUAAAAAAAACCAUUUAGAAAAAUACUGUAGCAAUCCACAGUGUUUUGUGAGAAAAGCUACAACGCUUUUCCCAUAUGAUUUAGCUUUAUUGUAAUUAUAAUUCUUAACCAACUCAAUAUUAAAAAAAAAAUCGACAAAAAUAAUUUUGAAAAAAAUUCAUAAAAAAAUCAUAUGGGAAAACACUGCAACAAUUCAUAGUGUUUUAAAGAAAAAAAAUGACAAAGCUAAAUUCUUAAUAAGCUCAAUAUUAAAAAAAUAAAAUCGACAAAUAUAAUUUUAGAAAAAAAAUAACAAAAAAAACAAAGGGAAAAAAAACCAUGUUGGAAACAUUAUAGCAAUUCACAAUGUUUUGUGAUGAAAGCUACAGUGCUUCCUCACAUGAUUUAGCCUUAAUUGUAAUGACUUGUAAUUGUAAUUCUCAAUCAACUCAAUAUUAAAAUAAUAAAAUUGACAAAGAUAAUUUUGAAAAAAUCAUAAGGAAAAAAAAAAACCAUGUUGAGAGACACUCUAGCAAUCCAUAGUGUUUUGUGAGGAAAGUUACAAUGCUUUCUUCAUAUGAUUAAGCUUUAUUAUAAAGUUAAAUUCUAAUAAGCCCAAUAUUAAAAAAAUAAAAUUGACAAAAAUAAUUUUGGGAAAAAAUAUUACAAAAAAAAAAACACAAAAGAAAUGGAAAAACACCAUGUCGGAAAAAACACCAUGACAAUUCACAGUAAUUUGCGAGGAAAGUUAAAGUGUUUUUCUCAUAUAUUGUAAUUGUAAUUUUUAACCCGCUUAAUAUUAAAAACUAAAAUCAAAAAAGUUAAUUUUGGAGAAAAUCAUCAAAAAACAAAACAACAAAAAACCAUGCGGAGAAAAACUUUAAGCAAUCAACAAUGUUUUAAAGAAAAAAAAUUAGAAACCUAAAUUAUCAAUCAACUCAAUAUUAAAAAAAUAAAAUCAACAAAUAAAAUUAUGAAAAUAAAAAAAAUAAAAUAAAAAAACUAUGAGGGAAAUGCCAUAGCAAUUAAAGGAAAAAAUUUACAAAUCAAAAUUUUUAACCUCUCGAUAUUAAAAAAGUAUAAUUAAUAAAGAUAAUUUUGAAAAAACAAUAAACAAAUAAAAGGGAAAGUUGGAAAAAAAAAAGUCAUUUUGGAAAAAAAAGGAAAGAAAAAAGGGGAAAUUUGAAAAAAAAAAGAUUAAAAAACAGAAAAAAAAAAGAGAGAGAGGAAUGCACUAUGGAUUGCUAUUGGAAUCCAUAAUGCAUUGAGUGUGGGUGAACAAUGAAUUCUCCACACCCUUUAGCUUAUUACUUAAUUGUAAUUUCUAUCCAGUUUAACGAAGAUACUUUAAGAAAAGAACAAAAAAAAAAAACUAUGUGGGAAAAAUACUGUAGCAAUCCACAGUAAUUUGCGAGGAAAGCUACAAUGCUUUCCUUAUAUAUUGUAACUGUAAUUUUUAACCAGUUUAAUAUUAAAAAAUAAAAUUUUAAAAAAGAUAAUUUUAGAGAAAAUCAUAAAAAAACCAUGUAAAGAAAAACUGUAGCAAUCAACAAUGUUUUGAAGAAAAAAAAUUAUAAAACUAAAUUCUCAAUGAACUUAAUAUUAAAAAAAUAAAAUUGUUAAAUAUAAUUUUGAAAAAUAAAAGAAUAAAAUAGAAAAAUCACGUGGAAAACACUGUAGCAAUCCAUGAUAUUUUAAAGAAGAAGUAAAAAUUUUAACCAGCUCAAUAUUAAAAAACUAAAAUUAACAAAGAUAAUUUUAAAAAAAAAUGCAAAAACAAUAAAGUAAAAAAAAGGUAAAAAAAAUAAAAAAUACAAAAAAAAACAUUAAUAAUAAUUAUUAUUAUUGUAAUCCAGGUGCGGAAAACAGUAAUUUCCACAUUUAGAUAUUGCUGUAAUGGGCAGUCUUUGCCCAUUACAGCAAUAAGAAAGGUAUCUUCUUUUAGCAGGGGAGCUGGCAGACACGGUAUUACGAGUUUUUUUCUUGUGAACAAAUGAUGGCACCUAGGAUAGUUUGUUGUCUUCAUCCCUAUUUUGUGGUUUCUUACAAUUUCAAUCCUUAAAUAUUUCUUCAUUUCUAUUUCAUCCUUUAAUGCUUCAAAUUGUCUUUUUAAAUUUAUUUAAUAGGGGAUCUUUUCGCUUUAAAUUUAUGUGCUUCACCUCUCAUAUCCGGUUUUCUGGGAACUACAAUUACAUCCCACAAAAUAAUAAAAAGAAAGGACCAAUAUUACCGUGUGCAACAAUGAAAGGAUGAAUUUAGAUUUGAUUUGACACGGAGAUAAGGUAAUCCCAAAAGCCAAUAUAUCGUCGCCAUGUCUGCAGCCUUAUCUCUACAGCAGAGAUGGGGACUUCCAAAAAAGGAAGAUAGUAAAGAGUGGGGAGAGUCAUGGAUUGAAAGGACGUGCACUAUUGAAAAGGACGUGCACUAUUGAAAGGUUCAUUAGCGAAAAUGGUGUGGAGUGGACAUUGGGUUUUCUGGGUGGAGCAUUUAAUGAUCCUUCUCUUCUUGAUUUUCGAUUUUAUUUUUUUAAAUUUUGGAAAAAUGAAUUGUGCUUUCCAAUUUAGGUGCAGGGAAAUCAUACCUGCUCUUGAAAUUCACUGAUAAAAGAUUACAUCCCGUUCAUGAUCUCACCAUCGGUGUUGAAUUCGGAGCUCGCAUGGUCACCAUCCAUGGCGUAUGUACUUUCCUCUUUUUUUCUUUUUUCUUUUUUCAUUCCCGUACUCUCAGUUUUUUCAUUCUAUUAGAGGAAGCGUUAGAAGCCAAAUAUGGUUAAAACAGGGAGGGCCCUUUUGCAAAGAAAUGCCUCACGGGACUUGCAAUGCAGGGAUGCUUUUUGUGCAAAACGUGGCCUUUGAAAAAACAACGGCCGUGAGGUAUGCGUCAGAGGACAGUCAUCGUGAUCGAUUAAAAUUUACAAUCAAGAAUCAACUAUUAAGUUUAAAAUAUACCCGAAAAAAACUUUAAAAAGUAAAUAUAUUAAAAUGAUUAUAUUUUUAUAUAUUUUUUUAAUACCAGUAUUUUAAGAUUAUUGAAAAAUAUUUAGAAAAAUAAAUUUAAUAUUUUUUCAAAUUAAAUAUAUUUUCCUAUAUUAAUUCCAAACGAGAUUGUAGUAAAAAUGUUUGAAAAAGCAUUGUAACUAUAUUAUCAAAUACACAGUAACCAAAUCUAAAAUGUACAUAGCUCAGUUGCCUUGUUUGAAACCGUUGACAUUGGCUUCUAAAUAAAAAAUCCAUCUCCUUCCUUGAUUGUGUUUACGGGCCAUAUGCCUUUAUCUUUUAAAAGGUCAACACGAGAGAAAAAGGCGUGUAGAGAAAUGAAACAAAAUUGUGAUGAUGUACUAAAAUGUAAAUAGCUCAGUUGCCUUGAUUGAACCUUGUUUUUUGUUUUUUUUUUUAAAAAGUAAAGGGGUAAGGUCUUUGUAUAUAAAAUACGCCAGAACUUAAUUUAUCGGAUGUGCUGGUUAUUCUUUUUCUCGGAUUAGAAGAAGGGUGGAAAUCCCAGGAUAAUUAAUCGAAAAACAUGUAUGUAUUUAGUAGUGUGAACUAUACUGAAAAAGAUUUCUAAGCAUGUAAAAGAAACCAUGAAGAAAUUCUUACUUAAAAAGUAUUAGGUGAAAGAAAUCUAUUGGAAGAAUCCAUGUAGAAGGAGCUCGUACUUAAAAUGUUUUUCUAAGAGGCCAAGGAAAGUGAAUCCAUAGAGAAGGAACUUAUACUUAAAAAAAUUAUUAGAGGCAAAAAAGGAUUCUGUUAAAGAGAAGUCAUAUUUAGAAAACAUUCUAAGAGGUUAAGGGUUUCAUGUCCAUGCUUAUAAAUUUUUUUAAAAGAUCAAGAGGAAUCCGUGAAGGAAAAGUCAUGUUUAGAAUUUUUUUUUUAAAAGUAAGGUUUCAUGUUUACUUUUAAAAAGACUUCUAAAAGGUUAGAAAAACUAAAACUAUGAAGGAAAAGCCAUGCUUAGAUGAAAAUUCUAAAAGGCCAGGUUUCAUGCACAAACUUAGAAAAAAUAAACUCUAAGAGGCUAGGGGAACCAUAGUAUAAGUCUAUACUAAGAAAUUAAGAGGUUGAGGGUAACUCUUGAGAGUUGUUCCAUAUAAUAUCUUAAAUGAUCGUUGUUUUUUGAAUGAUGCACCUAGUAACACCCUUGUCUAUCUCAAGCAAAAUGUAUGUUUAAUUGAAACUCUUUUUCCUUAUUUAUAUUUUUUGUUUUCUUUUUUAUUAAUAAAAAUAUUUUUUUAUGAGAAACAUAGUUUUUUUUUAAAUAAGAACAUAAUUUUAAAAUAAAGUUUUAAUAAUAAAAAAAAUGAAUCCAUAAUUUUUACACACGAAUGUGUCAAAAAAAAUAUAAGAAUAGUCAAUCGAUGGAAAUGACUGUAUUAUCCCCCAACACCAACUCACCUCAUUUUUCUUUAAAGCAAAAUCAUAAUGUUACCAUAGCUAUGAAUAGUUUUUUUGUGUGUUUGAGUCACGUUUUUAUGUUAACUAUUUUGAAAGUAAAUAGGUCGGUUGCCUUGUUUGAAACUAUAGACAUUGGCUGCUAAAUAGAAAAACCCAUCUCCUUGGUCAGGUCACCAUGGAAAAGGGAUGGCUUAAUAAUUAAUUAACACCAUAUUGCAACGGGAAGCUGUCCACUGCAACUGGAAGUGGAUCAGACACGGUUUGCAAUUUACUGUCAUUAUCUUUCUUUAUCGAUUUUGAAACGCAAAAGUUGCUCCCAGUUGCCUUUUUUACGAAUAAAACAGAGUUGCCAUUGUUGAUUUGCUUCUUGAAAUGAUUUGCAGCAGACUGUUUUAGCAAAAAAGCGAAAGUAAUUUAACUUAUAAAAGUUGAUACAGGUAGUUAAAAGCAUAAACUCGUACCAAUAAUUGUUGGGGGGGGGGGGGAAGGUGACAAUAUAUAUGGUUAUAUUUUAUAUUCAUAGCUCACAUUCUGAAAUGCAAAAGAUGCUCCAAGUUGCAUCAUUUACGAAUAAAUUAAAUUGCGUUGCCAUUGUUAUUUGUUUCUUGAAAUGAUGCCCAGUUGACUGUUUUUUUUUUAUUAUUAUUUAAAGACACGACAUGCCAUAUAGGCUAAUUGGUACUAUAAAAUACAUCCACCAUUCCUCUCAAACACUACUUCUAUAACCACCAUCAAGACCUGCAUAAUAUAGAAAUUUAGCUCUUUUUCUUUCGGUUUAUUUCUUCGAGUAAUAUUUUGUUUCUGUGAUUAUGGCUACAGCCUACAGGGCACGCACCAGGCAACCCCAUUCCAGCAGUGAGAACAUACCCGCCGGUGGAACAUCCAGUGGUGGUAAUAGGGCCACAGUACCUGGCACAGUACCCUGUUGAACUCGCCGUCUCUACAAAGCUAUGGACUCUUGGAGAGAAUGAUUUUAAGGUGUCCGACAUUAAUGGCACCCUCAUCUUCCAGGUCAAGAGUAAACUCUUAACCCUACAUGAUCGUCGUUUUCUGAAAGAUGCAGCCGGUAACACUCUUGUCAAUCUCAGGCAGAAGGUAUGUUUAAUUGCUCUUUUUCAUUUGCUUUCUUCUUUUCAAUCUAACCAUCACAACAUUGAUAAAUUCUAAAUUUGGUUGCCUUUUACACGAGACUAGAUAUGAUUCAUUUAAUAUAGACAUCGAGGAUUUUAUUAUUUUUUAAAUGUAAUUUAAUUGAUAAGGACCACGCAUAAAAUAACAAUGAUGAAAGUUGAAUACAGUCAAAUAACGUUACUAACAUUAGUGUCCAUAUAUCAAUGAGAUGGCUAACUGCGUGUUUACCAUUUUCUCCAGAUAAGGACCAUGCAUCGGAGGUGGGAAGCUUUUAGAGGAGAAAGCAAGGAGGAGAAAGAUUUGCUUUUCACAGCCAAGAAAUCGAAGUUAUUCCAAUUCAAAACUGAGUUAGACAUAUUCUUGGCCAACAACAAAGGAGAGGUCCCUGAUUUCAAGGUCAAAGGAGGGUACGGGGAGAGUUCCUGCUCUAUACUUCUUGGAGAUUCCAAUGCCAUGCUUGCACAAGUAAGUUCGAUGCUCUCAUUCAUUUUAGAAUCUUUGCAGGUGUUCAUACUAAUAGUUUUUAAUCUUGAAUAAAUGCAGAUGCAUAGAUUACACUCUCUCACGACGAUGAUCUUGGAUACAGAUAGUUUUGGAGUGACUGUUUAUCCUAAUGUUGAUUAUGCCUUCAUAGUAGCUCUUGUGGUGAUUCUCGAUGAGAUCAAUGCAGACCGUAGUGGCGAAGAUUAAAUACAGCUUUUGUUUUAUUUCAAGAGAAGUUUUCAAGUUUUAUUGCUUUUUUAUUGUAAGAAUAAAUACAAUGCAUUCUUUAUUGCUUUUUCCUAAUGUAAAAUGUAUGCUUUGUGGAUGACAAAAAGCGUAAAAUAUAUAAUCAUUUAUUUAAUGUGUUUUGAAUUCUGUUCAAACCCAAAAACAAAUAACACAUAACUUGAGAUAAAUGAUCAUUAUAUAAACUUAGCUUAAUAACUUUAGUAAAAUUUAUUUGUAUAAAUUUGUUUGGAGCCCUUGCAAAAGUUGGUGCUUGAUUCGGUAAAAAAAAAGAAGCAAUUUUGUUGUUAAAGAAAUAUUAAAACUUCAAGGAUCAAAUUAAACACUGCAAUAAAAAAAACAGCCUAUAUAUAAAAACAUGAGGUGAAGAUUUUAAAAAUUUGAUCCUCAAAGUUUCUUUAUUUAUUUUUAUAUGCUUUAGAACUUUAGUUUUUUUUAUCAAAAACUUUAUUUUGUUCAUUUUUUAAAAAUUCUAUGUUUAAGAGAUAAGAGAGAAUAUCACUCACACACAUACACAAAAAAGACUAUGACACUUUUUUUUUUUUUUAUAACAUUAGCACUUUUUUUAUAACCCAUCGUGAUUUUUUUCCCCUUAAAUUUUAUUUGGUGGCUUUCCGACACAAGUCUAUUUUUAUUAUUGUAUGAUUAAAAUAAAUAAAUUAUGAAAAAUAGAGUUAUUAAACCCAUAUAAGUUCAAAACUCUAAUUAUAAAUUUUAUUGUUUAACCCAGGUUGACUCAGGUCGAUCCAAAACAUUGUCAUCUCAAUAUUUUUUUUAAAAAAAUAAAGUUGAACCAAUGUUAUCUUGAAAAAACAUUUUUUCAAUCAAACUAGGUUUUUACCAGGUCGCAUUUGAGUUCACCAGGUUUAUUGGGUCAUAUCAAACUAACUUUCACUUGUUUUGAUGUUAUACCUGGCUAGACAUCAUUUAUUUCUAAUGAAAAUGGAAUGAAAUUAAUGAGAAUUUAUCACCAUCGAUUCUUUUAAUACUUGGAACGCACCCUAACUCCAUAACAUUGGAUCAAACCAAAAGCACACAAAAUCAAAAUAACCAAAAUAUUGUAAAUUCAUUUGUUCAAACUCAACAGAAUCAUAACAUGACAAAAAGAUCCAUGAAUCAAAUAAUUAAACCCAAGCAACUUCAUACAGUGACAAAAUAUCCUUUUCCACAAACAUUUAAACCAACAUGUGUGCGCCAAGCUAUAUCUCAAUCUCAACGGUGUAAUGCUAUGUCAAAUGAGCUCACUACCAUCUUCAAGCAUAGAACUUGAGACUUGGUUCCGCCACCUUCAAAUUGUACCCAUGUAGGUUAUAGAUGGGUGUUUAAAGUGAAGAGAAAAUCUAAUGGUUAUAUGGAUAGAUUGAGAUAUUGUCCUGUUGCAAAGGGGUAUAAUCAAUGCCCCAGACUUAACGAUAAAAAAACAUUCAAUGCAAUAUUUAAAAUUGCCAUUAUUAGAUCAGUUUUAACCAUUGUUGUCAUGAAUGGGUGAGAGUUGAGGCAAAUAGAUGUUAACAAUGCUUUUCUACGUAGGAAUUUAACUAAACUAUUUAUAUGAUGGAUUCCAUGCGUUGAGUAUCACGAAAUCAGUGUGAGAAGUUGGUAAAAAAUCAUUUCUGCCCUUGUUUUUUUAUUCUCCUUUGCCAGCCUCCCUUUCCCCCUCUUUUUCUCCACCUUCGGCGACACAACCACCUGUGGUUACUGAUCAGUACUUAAAAGUGCAUAUUUAUCAAGGUUUUAUAUCAUCAUUUUGCACUUAAAGUAUCAAUAACUCCUUAACUAAAGCAUGUUUUAUAAUAACAAGUUUGAUACUAUAAAAUGCCUUAAUAUAUGGUAAAUGUUCAUCUUAAAUGCAGGCUUAUCACAUAAAUCAAAGGAUUGAUUGAUGAAUUCAACUACUGAAAUUAUGAAGAUAAAGAGAGGGUGAAGCUUAGAAAAGAGAUGUUGGUGCAGUCCAAACUGGAACACUAUUCGGGAAUUGAGUCAUAUCUCGAGUUCUAGAUGUCCAAAUAACCUUAAAUGUUUACAAAGAUUAGGUAAGACAUAGGCCUACAACUUUCAUGUGGAGUCCAAGAUUUAAAAAGGCCGUUUUCAAGUCCAAAUUAUAGCAACAACAAAGAAGUCCGAAUAUGUCUUGCAGCCCAAACACUAUUCAGUGUUCAACCCAUAUCUCAAGUUCUAGAAGCCAAAUGACCUUAAUGUUUUUUUUCUGGAAAGCUAAGACAAUUUCCUAUAACUUUCAUAGUACAGGUGGAUCCAGUUUUGAUGCUAGCAAUGAUGUUUUAUUCAGACAAGAAGAUAAGGAUUUUCACCAAGUCAAGAGUUGGCCACCCACUCAACAAUUAGUCAUCAAAUCAAUAGUUCUAAAUUUUGGCCUAUAAAAGGAGGCAUUUGCCAUGCAUUUGGAGACUUGGUUGUUCAGAUGAAGAACUUGUUCUUGCUUUUUCUCUUUAUAUUUUUUUUUGUAAUUCUUAAGUUUUGCUUUCAUUAAUAUCUUUUUUAUGCUUUUCAUUUCCUUUCCUCUACUUAGUUAACUUGUAUCUUAUUUAUGUUCUUAUUUUGUUUAUUUAUGUUUCUCUUCUUCAUUAUGUUUAGCUAAGUUUAUUAUGUCAAGGUGAAAAGGUUACACUAAUGGUGUAAGAAUAAGUAUGGUAUAGACUCAACAUGGACCUUAAUAUUUAAUAUUAACAUGUCUUAUAUUUUUAUCUUACUAAUUCUUAAUACCUUGCUUGUUAAAUGGUUAAUCUAGAUUUGUGUUGUAUAACACUUGGUACAACAAAUGCUUGGCACUCUCAUAGCCCAACCGUAUGGUAUUAGCUACACCUGUGCUAUGAAAGGACCUUGAUUUGUUGUUAACAUAAGUUAGUAUCAUGAAUUCCUGAUGUCGCACCCCAAAAAAUCCGGCGCGCGAUUUUUCAUCAUUUGUUGCGUUUGCUUUGAAUUUGUUUGUGGGAGUCGCCACCUAGUAAUUUAUUGAGGGCUACUAGGAAACCUGAUGUACUGGUCUUAUCAGAGAUCGUGGGUAAGGGACUGGUUGUGGUUAGGGAAGGUAUUAGCACCCCUAACGCACCCUACCUGAGGUAAGCUGCUUUGUGUUCUGAUGUGAUUUUGAAAAUUUAAAAUAUUAAUUAAAUUCUAAGGCUUGAAUAAAUCAGUUAUUAAAUCCCCGAAUAUAUAUAAAAACUUGUUCUUACAGUUUCGUGGAAAAUACAACUUGAUUUUAUUUGUCCUUUAGAUAUUUAACCAUAUUUAAAAAAAUUUAAAAUAUUAAUUAAAUUCUAAGGCUUGAAUAAAUCAGUUAUUGAAUCCCCGAAUAUAUGUAAAAACUUGUUCUUACAUUUUCAUGGAAAAUACAACUUGAUUUUAUUUGUCCUUGAGAUAUUUAACCAUAUUUAAAUUAACAAUUAAUUCUUUUUGUCCUUUUAUUUUUACAAUUUAAUAACAUAAAUAAAAAAUACAAACAAGCACACAUCUCUUUUUAUUAUUUAUUUUCUUUCAUUUUCUUCUUUUUUUCUUUUACAUUCACAUAUUACAAAUUUAAAAUAAAUAAACAAAAAUUACAUUAAAACUUUAAAAUUUACAAAAUGGUCCCUAAAAACUCCGGAAAUUGCAGGGAAGGACUUCAGGGGCUGCAUGAACAGAGACGGCGCGUCUUCCCACGCGCCAUCGCCACUGGCGGCGCGUGGGUUCACGCGCCGCCGCAGGGAAAGAAACUGGAUGCAGUGGAUCGCAACCGGCUUCUCCUUCUGUCCUCCUAAACCAUCUGUGACCUGUGGAACAAAAAGAGAAACUCAACAACAGUCGGUUUUAGUUUUUUAUUUCCUUUUGUUUCACUUCUGUUUUAUGUCUUCUUUUUGCUUCGUUUCUUCUUUGCAGGUUGCAGAUCCGGCGAGGGCAGGCUUCGAUGGCCACUGCUGGGCAGUUCUGGCGGCGGGUCUGUGGGCGGUGGCUGCCGAUCUGUGGACGGCGCUGCUGCACGGGGAGCGGAUCUGUGGGGAGUAGCUACUGCUGUUGGAGGACACCGUUGAUGGUUUGGAGGAGGAGGAGACGCAGGUUCGGUCGGCGAUGGACAGGAAGAAACUGAAACGGCCAGCAAGAGGGGAGACUCCUUCGGGUGCAGGGAAGAAGGCCGAGAGAGGGAAGAGACCGGUUCUGCUUGUUCUGCUUUGGCUGCAACCGAGAGAGAGCUGAGGGAAAAAUGGAGGCCGGUUCAGGGGAUGAGUGAAGGAGCUGGGUCUGUGGGAAUGGAAAUGGCUAGCGGGAGGAGAGGAAGGGGCUGGUCUGUGUGUUGCUUUUUCUUUGCAAAAGGGGGGGAGAUUUGUGGCUGUGAUUUGAGGGGAGACGGUGAUGGGAAUGGAGGUCCGGUGGGGGUGGGGUCUUCGGGUGCCUGAGGAAGAAGGAAAAAAAUCGAAGGGGAGGGGUUUGGGGCUGACUUUGUUUGGCUUUUGUUGCAGUUUGGGGAGGUUGAGAGUGAGGGUCAAGAGACAGAGGUGGCUCGGCGUGCUGGGGAGAGUCUGAAAAAUGGCAGGGAACGACCGGUGUGUAGAAGAAAAAAUAAUCCGGGGGGGAAGUUUGGGUUGAGAGGGAAGAAGAGAAAAAAAAAUUGGAUCCCCCAAGCGGGGAGGCUGUGAGGUUGAUUUGUAAGGAAAAAAAUGAGAUUGAUUGGGGGCUGAGAGAGCAAAUCAAAAACCAGGGGGGGAGCCCCUUUGGUGGCUUCGGCUGAGAAAGAAAGAUAUGGCCGGGAGGGAGAGCAGACCCCCAAAAAAAAAAAAAAAGAGCCUGAAAGGGCUGUUUUUAUUUUUGCAUAGGACCAGGGAGUGUGGGAACAGCUGGUGAUGGGGAACGGCUAGUUUCGGGUGAAGAGAAAAAAUUCUUAGGUUGCCCCUCCUUUCAAAAUUCAAAAUUCCUUAUACAUAGGCAAAAAUAUUGUUUCGGCCUCAAAAUUGGUCCCUAAUUUUCUUUUUUGUGUAAAAUUUGAUUUUUCUUGUUUUUUUUGUAUUUUUUGAAAACGAGCAAUAUCAACGUCGACUCAAAUGUGGAAAAUCAAAUAUUUUAAAAAUGACGCGUGAAAAGUGAACGCGUUCGAAAAUCUUUUUUUUUAAUUUAAAUUUUUUAGACGACGCUGAAAAUGCUAAAAUGACGAAAUAUAUUAAAAACAUAUUUUUUUGGAUUUUCUUUGUUUUUCUCUAUUUUUGGAUUUUUUGAAAAAUAUAUCAAAAACAUGGGUCAAAAAUUGGUAGCAACAGAUGCCCCCUCUUUACAAUGCUUACGAAGCAAAAAUCCUCGAUGUUUUGCAUAGUAAGCUUUGUAAAGAAAAACUUGUCUUUCUGUUUUGCUCAAUAUUUUUUUUUUUGUUAACCUGAGAUCCCAUCUGGCGACCUCCUUUACCAAAACCAAAGAAUGCGUGUAGCUCGGUCAACCCGAAACCCCAAUGGAGAUUCCCUUUAACCAAAGCUACAUGAGAUCCCAUCUGGCGACCUCAUUCAACUGGAACAAAAUAUUGUGUAACUCGGUUAACUGAAAUCCCAUCUGGCGAUUCCCUUUAACCAAAGCUACCCGAGAUCCCAUCUGGCGACCUCAUUUAACCAAAACAAAAGAAUGUGUGAAAAAUGGUCUCAUUGUUUUGGGUGACGAACCCAGAAAAAUGAUGGUCUCAUUGUAUGGGUGACGAACCCUAGAAAAAAUGAUGGUCUCAUUGUAUGGGUGACGAACCCCAAUGGAAAGGAGGAAGAGUGGUCUCAUUCUUUGGGUGACCUACCCAGGGGGAAGAAUGGCCUCAUUCUUAUGGGUGACCUACCCAGGUAAAAAAAAGAUGGAGAAUGGUCUCAUUCUAAUGGGUGACCUACCCAGAAAAAAUGGUGGUCUCAUUGUGAUGGGUGACCUACCCAAGUGGAAAGGAAAGAGUGGUCUCAUUCUUUGGGUGACCUACCCAGGGGAAGGAAUGGCCUCAUUCUUAUGGGUGACCUGCCCAGGUAAAAAAAAAAUGGAGAAUGGUCUCAUUCUUUGGGUGACCUACCCAGAAAAAAUGGUGGUCUCAUUGUGAUGGGUGACCUACCCAGAAAAAAUGGUGGUCUCAUUGUGAUGGGUGACCUACCCAAGUGGAAAAAGGAAGAGUGGUCUCAUUUUUUUGGGUGACCUACCCAGGGGGAGGAAUGGCCUCAUUCUUAUGGGUGACCUACCCAGGUAAAAAAAAGAUGGAGAAUGGUCUCAUUCUUUGGGUGACCCACCCAGAAAAGAUGAUGGUCUCAUUGUGAUGGGUGACCUACCCAAGAUGGAAAAAAUGUGAAGUGUGGUCUCAUUGUAAUGGGUGACCUACCCAGAUGGAAAAAAUAUGAAGUGUGGUCUCAUUGUAAUGGGUGACCUACCCAGAUGGAAAAAAUAUGAUGAAGUGGUCUCGUUGUGAUGGGCGACCUACCCAGAUAGAAAGAAUAUGAAGUGCGGUCUCAUUGUAAUGGGUGACCUACCCAAAAAUGGAAAAAAUAUGAAGAACGGUCUUAUUAUGAUGGGCGACCUACCCAGAUGAAAAAAAUGUGAUAUGACAAGUGUGAAAAAUAGGACUUACCUGGCGAAGUCCUGAAGGGAUGACAGAAGAAGGGCUGGAAAAACUUGGUGCUUCCUGAUAAUUCCUGAUCAUAGGGUUUGAAAACUCGGUGUUUCCUGACUGCAAGGGUUGAAAACUCGAGGCUUCCCGAUUGCAAGGUUGAUCUUUCAUUUCUUUGGGAUUUUCCUAAUGGUAAGGUUCAUCCCAUCGUCCUUUUAUUCCAUGAUCAAAACCGAUUCUUUGUUAUCAUCACCACAAUGCUUCUUUCUCUUUCCACCAUCUUGCUGGACCUCAUUAAGGAUUUUCCUGUAACAAUUCAAAAAUAUGUGCAAAUGGUUUUUUUUUUUUGUUUUUUUUUGGAGGUUAGAUGAUAUGCAUGCAUCCUUACCUGAUUUGAAAUAUAGGUCCCCCCUCUUUGAUGCUCCAUCGUCAUAGGGUGCCCUUGUUUGCAUCCCAAAGCUUUCUUUGUUCUUCGAUGCAUUGGCUCAUUCAUGUGCUAGCCAUCCACUCAGCUGUAAAUGCAGUGCCCAUCCCGGGCUGUCUUCGACAAUUACUGCUGCAUCAUUCAUCAAGCUUGACUGCCCCCAAGUGUGGUGUUGCUUGAUUCAUCAUGAAGAUUUUCUCUCUUGGAUUCUUCUGAGAAUUAUCCUUUGAUUGAUUGUGUGCAUCAUGCCAACACCCAUCAAGAUUGUUAAUCAGUCAUGAACUUGCCUUCGGUUGAAACACCAUUCAAGUAUGUAUGGUCACCAGCCUUCAUGGAACUGCCAAGUCAUCCAGACAUGGAUCUCAUGCUUUGCAGUAAACACUCAUCAUUGUAAGCGCGAUGUAUUUCUCUAUGGAUUCCUCUUAGCUUGUCAAAUCAGAUCGUGAAAAUAACUGCUUUGGCAUCAUCAAUGAUGUUCAUGUUAUCACCCAUAUUCAUGCGGUGAAGUGCGCAUUUGAGCUUCAGAAUAGAUGGUCCCAUAGUCAAUCUUAGUGGUAUGCAUAUGUUCGAUGUUCAUUCAAAUGCACUCACCCGAUAACAUCUGUCAGGAGUCAUAGCCAUGUUUUACAGGUAACCAAGAUGAAGAUAUGAAAAUAUCCUUCAAGUGCAGCGUUGCUCAUCAAUUGCUGCUGAAGUGCACUAGAUCAUGGAUUGUCUUUGAACAACAUUGCCCCAAUAUGAUCUGAAUGCUCAUUCUUCUUAUACAAAAGGCUUUUUUGAAUGCCAGAACUUUGUGAACUUUGAUGACUCAUCAUCUGAUUCUUUCUUUGCCCCCAGCUGAUCUGGAUUGUUUGCUUUCUUCUAAGGGUCCACUGUAUUGCCCCCAGGUGGUCAACGUUUCAAGGAGUGUCGAGAAAUGUUGAUGUCAUUUUUGUCAAGGAUUUUGCAAACUCAAUUGAUGUUCUUGUUUGAAAAUCUUUCUUGUUCUGGAAUCAAAUCUCACAUUUCAACGAUCAUGUCUAUUCAAGUCUAAUUGUUGAAAUGAAAUCAGAGAUGUCUGUUUUUGAAAUUAUUUUUUUUUUGAAAUUCAAACUUCUUUGGUCAAAGACCCAACACACUAUUCAAUGCAGUCCUUUGAUUGUCUUGUAUUUGAAAACAGAAAUGACCCGUUGUAAGAUUUAAAAUGACUUUUUCAUGGUUCUUUGUGUCCACUUUAAACUCUGAUUUUGGGUAUAUCUUUUGAUGGUCUGUGAUGAGGUGACAUUUUUAUGAAUUUCAAAAACAAGAUGCUCAGGCUUUAUCAAGAAAGGUUGUUUCUUUUCUUAGCAUUUAUUUUAUCAGCAUGCAUAAUAACCAGUAGCUUAAUUCAUGAAGUCACGACCCUUAUGGAAAAACUCUUCAAGUUUUGAGAGCGCCAUUUAUCGAUUCAAAUUGCUUGCUUGAUUAAAAAGGGCUUUUAAAAGCACGUAAUGCAGGCUAUGGUUCAUGGCUAUGAAAGAAAGAAUUUCAAAGGCUCAAAAGGUGUUUGAGGGUUUCAACGACUAGGAUCAACAUUAACUAUUCAUCGAUUCUCUUUCUCUUGUCGUCAUUGUAGAGAAAGUGACAUAUAACCUUGUUAAUCUCAAAUAUCAGAAUUUCUUAACAUAGGUCAUAAUGCAAAUCCAACUUUUCUUUGAUGAAUAACUAAUCUAAUUUUGAAGACAUUAGAGGCUUUAUCCUAGACACACCAAAAGAUAUGAAGCAUCGAUUUUUCUAGUGUUGACUUUUGGCAUUUAUUGUCUUUUCUCAAUUGAAAGUUGUCUUGCCUCUCUUAGAAUUGGUAGGCAUUUUCUUUCAUUUCCUCAAAGUUUUUCUUGGACGGCCCUCGAUCUAUGGAUUUUCUUCUUCUACCCUUUUCUCAAACAUUGGACUUUUGUUCUAAGCUUUUCUUUGAUCCAUUGAUUUUAUCUGUGUCUCCAAAAUAUUUCUCAUUUACCCCCAGUGUGGGGUGUGAUCCUAGUCAGGGUUUCUAAAAAAAUAUUUUAUUCAGCUCAACAUGGAACUACAAAGGAUAUAAACUUUAGAAAGUGAAGGGAUAUCAAAGAUGGCCUUUUCUCAUUUCAAGCAAGGUCGGUUAGAACCGAUAAAUUUUGACCUCAUCUAGUGUAAUGAUUUGGACUUGUAAGAGUCAUGAUUCACGAGUCCAUAACUACCGAAUCCACUACAUGUCAUUAUGCAUACUGCUAAAACUUAGCUAUAUGAUGUGUGGUUCAUUAGUGAGUUCAAAAUUUGUUUGGUCACCUCAUGUCAUUUCAACAAGAAUCGAGUCAUUUCUGCAAUCAAAACACUUUUAAUCUUCAGGAUUGAUUAACCUUUAUCGCAUGUUGGAGUUUGAUCAAAAUAUUUUGAAAAAAAUGUUAAACAUCUGUUGAUUUCAAAACAACAAAGAGACAAAAGCAAGGCAUGUUUCGUUGAAGGAUGAGAUGUGAUCCCAAAACAAAAUGCAGAAUUCCAAAACAAUAUGAUUGACUGUUCAUCACCAUUCUUGAAUCAGCUUUUCUGGCAAUAUUUGCGUUUUGCCAAGCACUUUCGAUCAACAUGUCAUUCUGAAGAUGUUCGGGGACAAUAUAGCCAAUGACACCCUCCUUCACCGACUCCACUUGUCUCUUGCUCACCAACUUUCAGACUCAAUUCUUGCAAUUCUUGAAACUGUUCACUUGAAAUGGUUGAGGACCCCACCAUGACAUCACAUCUCUUAUCUGGAUUAUACCACCUAGAAAUUGGUUUGCAUGGGAUUUGUCGGAGUCAAGCAAAAUUCUGGAAUCUGGCAGAUGCUGGUCGACAAACUUAAAUGGCAGAGGAAUGUCCCAUCUUGGCAAAGACAUUUGAGCAAUUGAUGCUACCGUGAGACCUGGCUAUACCACAUAAUUAAGGGUUCACACCGUCGAAGUCAUCUCCUGAUUCACCUCUCAUCAUUGUUCUAGAAUCCAUGGCAGAUCCUUCAAUCUUUCCUCUCUUCAUAGCUUGUUCAAUUCUUCGGCAAAUCCUCACAACAUCAUUUCAAUCUUCCAAUGUUGCUAUGGUUGGUUGAGGAUUGUUAGAAAACUUUCCAACAGCUUGGUAAUCUUGGCAGCCCAGAAACUUGUAGUAUCGCCACUACCGACGUGUGGAAUCACACAUUGUCUCUAUUGGAAGAGCACCUGAUGAAUCUAAACUCCUUUGUCCCCUCUUCGAUUUCUCACUGACAGUGCAGCAAACAAACACCUAUAGAGGAAGUCCUGCUCUGUUGAAGUUUCAGUAUUCUUCAUGUUUUUCAGUCUAGGCAUGUCUCUUCUCUCUACUUUUGCGUUUUAAUACUGACAUUGGAGGAAAAUCAUAGAUGAUCUGAAACUACUGUAUUCCUUCUUGGAUUUCCCACUUGCGGAUCCACAAACAGAUUCCUGCUGAGAGAGCUCUGCUACGUUGAAGUUUGAUGUCUGCUCAUAUUUUUCAGACCAGGUCUGGCUCUUCGACCUACUAAGAGGUCUUCGUGCUGAAACUGAUGAGAGAAAUAUUUGUAGCCUAUGCAACUUAUAAAUCCCCUCUUGCAUUCCCAAUUUGCAGAGCCAUAAAUGGAUUUUUGUAGAGGGAGCUCUGCCACAUUGAAGUUCAGUGUUUAAUCAUGGUUUUUCAGACCAUCUUGUGUUGCUGAACUGGAAUUGAGCUCAUAAUUGGGAUAACUUCAAAGCAGACUAAUGCACCAUGUACAGGAGGCUAGUAGUCGUUUGGAUCCAUUAGAUGAUGUGGAGGCGAUGAACACUUAACAAUGCAACUAGACAAGAAUCAGAGUUGUCAUUAGCUGAUGACUGAAGGCGUUGUUGUGGUUGUUGUUCAUGACUGAAAAGGAGAGAUACAACUUCGAUUGGACGUGAACAAGCAGUGUUCCCACAGCAGAUUGUGCAGACACUCUCUUUCCAUUUGAUGCUCAACAUUUGUUCAAGCAAAUCUGAGUCUAGCUGUUUCACCUUUGAUGCUCUCAACCUUAACAUGAUAAUAAGCCUCUAUCUGACACCUUUCUUCACCUCCAUCAUUUUUCUUCAAUCACGCGCAGCACAGCUUGUGCGGGGGAACAUACAUUUCAACCCGGUACAUGCAUGUAAUCUAAUUGACGAACUCACCCUUCGAGGGGUGACAAUAUGGUCGUAACUCUUGUAUGAUGGAACAAGAAUCGUGAUUUUUGCCCAAACUCUACAAUGAAAAUUUUCGGAGUGACGGCCAAUGUGUCACCCACAAGUCUUGAGUUCAAGAUGCUUCAAGAAGGGUUUGCUCGAAUGCAAAACAAUAGCACAUACAUCCUAAAGACAGGCUCUAUUCAUUUUACGUGAGACAGGGUAGGUUUGCUACUUGGUCUCUAAAAGGGUCUCUUGUUGUCCCAGUGAUCGCCUUCGUAAAGGCAAUAUAGGGGCCCAGUAGGUAAUUGGUUGGCACGUGUCCAACUAUUACCAGUCUAAGCACUCAACAAAGAGUUGGGGUUUACACAAACUUAAACCUUGACUCAAGUCGUAAGGUAAGCUGCUAGUCCCCCACCUAACCUAAAGCUGGUGUGUGCUUUCAAAAAUUAAAACUUGUGAUGCAUGAGAGAAAAUAUAUACAAUGCAUGAAUAAAACACAAAUAAACAAAACAAAGCACAAAAAAAAUAAAAUUGAACACAUCAAAACACAAAGCUUAGUCCGAUAAAGUUGAAAACAAUACCUGUCCCCAGUGGAGUCGCCAUCCUGUCGCACCCCAAAAAAUCCGGCGCGCGAUUUUUCAUCAUUUGUUGCGUUUGCUUUGAAUUUGUUUGUGGGAGUCGCCACCUAGUAAUUUAUUGAGGGCUACUAGGAAACCUGAUGUACUGGUCUUAUCAGAGAUCGUGGGUAAGGGACUGGUUGUGGUUAGGGAAGGUAUUAGCACCCCUAACGCACCCUACCUGAGGUAAGCUGCUUUGUGUUCUGAUGUGAUUUGAAAAUUUAAAAUAUUAAUUAAAUUCUAAGGCUUGAAUAAAUCAGUUAUUAAAUCCCCGAUAUAUAUGUAAAAACUUGUUCUUACAGUUUCGUGGAAAAUACAACUUGAUUUUAUUUGUCCUUGAGAUAUUUAACCAUAUUUAAAAAAUUUAAAAUAUUAAUUAAAUUCUAAGGCUUGAAUAAAUCAGUUAUUGAAUCCCCGAAUAUAUGUAAAAACUUGUUCUUACAUUUUCGUGGAAAAUACAACUGAUUUUUUAUUUUGUCCUUGAGAUAUUUAACCAUAUUUAAAUUAACAAUUAAUUCUUUUUGUCCUUCUUUUAUUUUUACAAUUUAAUAACAUAAAUAAAAAAUACAAACAAGCACACAUCUCUUUUUAUUAUUUAUUUUCUUUUAUUUUCUUCUUUUUUUCUUUUACAUUCACAUAUUACAAAUUUAAAAUAAAUAAACAAAAAUUACAUUAAAACUUUAAAAUUUACAAAAUGGUCCCUAAAAACUCCGGAAAUUGCAGGGAAGGACUUCAGGGGCUGCAUGAACAGCGACGGCGCGUCUUCCCACGCGCCAUCGCCACUGGCGGCGCGUGGGUUCACGCGCCGCCGCAGGGAAAGAAACUGGAUGCAGUGGAUCGCAACCGGCUUCUCCUUCUGUCCUCCUAAACCAUCUGUGACCUGUGGAACAAGAAGAGAAACUCAACAACAGUCGGUUUUAGUUUUUUAUUUCCUUUUGUUUCACUUCUGUUUUAUGUCUUCUUUUUGCUUCGUUUCUUCUUUGCAGGUUGCAGAUCCGGCGAGGGCAGGCUUCGAUGGCCACUGCUAGGCAGUUCUGGCGGCGGGUCUGUGGGCGGUGGCUGCCGAUCUGUGGACGGCGCUGCUGCACGGGGAGCGGAUCUGUGGGGAGUAGCUUCUGCUGUUGGAGGACGCCGUUGAUGGUUUGGAGGAGGAGGAGACGCAGGUUCGGUCGGCGAUGGACAGGAAGAAACUGAAACGGCCAGCAAGAGGGGAGACUCCUUCGGGUGCAGGGAAGAAGGCCGAGAGAGGGAAGAGACUGGUUCUGCUUGUUCUGCUUUGGCUGCAACCGAGAGAGAGCUGAGGGAAAAAUGGAGGCCGGUUCAGGGGAUGAGUGAAGGAGCUGGGUCUGUGGGAAUGGAAAUGGCUAGCGGGAGGAGAGGAAGGGGCUGGUCUGUGUGUUGCUUUUUCUUUGCAAAAGGGGGGAGAUUUGUGGCUGUGAUUUGAGGGGAGACGGUGAUGGGAAUGGAGGUCCGGUGGGGGUGGGGUCUUCGGGUGCCUGAGGAAGAAGGAAAAAAAUCGAAGGGAGGGGUUUGGGGCUGACUUUGUUUGGCUUUUGUUGCAGUUUGGGGGAGGUUGAGAGUGAGGGUCAAGAGACAGAGGUGGCUCCGGCGUGCUGGGGAGAGUCUGAAAAAUGGCAGGGACGACCGGUGUGUAGAAGAAAAAAUAAUCCGGGGGGGAAGUUUGGGCUGAGAGGGAAGAAGAGAAAAAAAAAAAAUUGGAUCCCCCAAGCGGGGAGGCUGUGAGGUUGAUUUGUAAGGAAAAAAAAUGAGAUUGAUUGGGGGCUGAGAGAGCAAAUCAAAAACCAGGGGGGGGAGCCCCUUUGGUGGCUUCGGCUGAGAAAGAAAGAUAUGGCCGGGAGGGAGAGCAGACCCCAAAAAAAAAAUGAGCCUGAAGGGGCUGUUUUUAUUUUUGCAUAGGACCAGGGAGUGUGGGAGCAGCUGGUGAGGGGGAACGGCUAGUUUCGGGUGAAGAGAAAAAAAUUCUUAGGUUGCCCCUCCUUUCAAAAUUCAAAAUUCCUUAUACAUAGGUAAAAAUAUUGUUUCGGCCUCAAAAUUGGUCCCUAAAUUUUCUUUUUUUGUAAAAUUUGAUUUUUCUUGUUUUUUUUGUAUUUUUUUGAAAACGAGCAAUAUCAACGUCGACUCAAAAUGCGGAAAAUCAAAUAUUUUAAAAAUGACGCGUGAAAAGUUGAACGCGUUCGAAAAUCUUUUUUUUGAAAAUUUAAAUUUUUUAGACGACGCUGAAAAUGCUAAAAUGACGAGAAUAUAUUAAAAAACAUAUUUUUUGGAUUUUCUUUGUUUUUCUCUAUUUUUGGAUUUUUUUGAAAAAAUAUAUGAAAAACAUGGGUCAAAAAUUGGGUAGCAACACCUGACAAUAUUUAAAAGUUUGGUGUUACUUAAAUAAGAUAAUUAAUAUGAUCAUGUUAACAAUUUAUAAUGAGCAAUUAAUGACAAAUCAUCCGAUUGGAACCUCCUUUGUGUGUGGUUUCCAGUUGAGUAAUAAGAGUUUAUACUAUACUUGUUUGAAAUAUCAUUAGUGAAUCCUAUAACCUUGACACUUGUUUUUAUCAUUGUUUAAUUAUCACAUUGAUCUUCCAUCUUAAAAUUUUCAUCAACUUCUCCCUAUUCUUCUUUAUUAUUAUUACUACUACUACUACUACUAGUAUUAUUAUUAUUAUUACUAUUAAUAUUAUUAUUACUAUUACUAUUAUUGUUAUUAUUGUUGUUAUUAUUAUUGUUGGUGUUGUAUUGUUAUUUAUAAUUCAUACAAUUAACCUCCCUAUGGUUCGAUUCCGGUCUUGCCGAGUUAUUUAUUAUUUCGACAUUCCUGCAUUUGGAAGAAGACAUCAAUCUUUUGGUCGUGUCAUUCACCAUACAUGAUCUUCCAUGAACCGCCAGGAACCCUUCUAGCAACCCUCUACCUUCGACCAAACAAUGUCGCUUUUUUUUUUUUCACUUCAAAACCCUCCAUUUGUGAUUUUCUUGCAUGUUUUUCUAUCAAUUUUGCAAAAUAUCAGGCUGUAUCUUUACACUAUAAGAUACAGAUUUGUUAUUAAAAAACCUGGUUUUCUCCGAAAUGCCUCUUAAAAAAAUUUGAAGAUUAAAAAAAAUCUCAAGAAUUUUUAAAUUAAUCUCCUCUUUUAAAAUAAUAAAAAAAAAUUUUGUUUUCAUGUGUACAGUCAAAUCCUAAAAUAAUUUUAAGCAUGCUUUUUUAAAAAAAGAAGAAGCAUAUUUCUCAUGUUUUGAAAUGCAAAAAUGGAUAUUAUAACUAGUUUUUGGUUAUCCCUUAGAGUUUGACCAAAAUAUCAAAAAUCCUUCACCAAUCAUUUUGUUCAUUUUAUAUUUAAAGUGUUAGGGUUUAGUUGUAGACUUUAAUAUUUAGAGGUGUACAACUACACAAUAGAGUACAACCCUCAAGUAUUAAAGAUAAAAAGUGAAAAAUAAAUGCAAUACUAAAAUUUAGACUUUUGAAUAGUUAGGAUUUAGCCUAAUAAGGUAGAGACUUUCUCACGAAUGAAGAUUUGAUUUGAACCUUAGAUGUGACCAACGAACAUGAACAUGACUUAGAAUAACUAUCAAAUAACAACGUAACUUACCUUAGGUAGGGUGAUGCGGUGUGCCAUUUGACGUCGCCCCACGACACCUUACAUGUAACAAAGGCAUCCUUAGGCUUUUUAUGUGAAGAAGCCUAAAUGACCCUUCAACGAUGCAUUAAUAAGCAACAUGUGUGGCAUGAAAAUUAAUUACCAUCAAGCAUAAAUUCUAUAAAAAAACAAAUUAAGAUCCACAACUUCAGUAUUACUACAAUAAUAAAAUAUGAUGGUGUUCUAAAAUUUGAUAUACUAAAAAAUAAGGUUAUUUAUUGUUUACACAGUGGUUAAUCGUAUAAAGGAAAUCAAUAAUUUGUAACAAUAUAGAUUUCCCCUCAUCUUAUCUCUGGUAAAUCUUAUAUCCUUAUGUAUUUGAAUUUAUAAUAAACAAUAUCUUGUACAAACCUUAUAAAUAGGAGUUCUACUUAUAAAAUAAGAAAAGCAAUUUAAGGAGAGCAUUUUUGAAAGUUGUAUAUCAUACCCCAAAGGGCGCUUGUUUAAGCCUAUAGAUGGCUUUUCUUAAUAUACACACAUUAUUAGGCUUAAACAUGUCUUUAGAACAAAGAAUAGACUAUGCUUAAUCUUCCUUCUAUUUCUUCUUGUUUUUUUUUCCAUUUUUAGCCUUCUUCCAGUCUUCUGUUUUCUUUUGUGCUUCUGCUCUCCCUUUUUUUUCACUCUCUGUUUUCCUUUCCUCACCCUCUGUUUUCUUUCUCUCCCUCUGUUUUUCUUCCUCUCUCUCGUUUCCUUCUUUCCAAAGGAGUUUACAAAAACUACUAAAGUUUUGAAACAACUUCUAUCGGCAAAAGAUGAAGGCUUUUUCGGGUUGUCAGAGGCAAUGAACAAGGCAGGGACUACCGUCGGUUUGUACUUCAUUUUUGCAAGCAAGAUGUGCAGGUAUAAGCAAUUAUUCUUCUUUGCUAUAUUAAACUAGGCAUCUAUUGAUUGUUCUGUUCCAAACCUGUUUCUCUUUUUGCUCUAAAUAUUCAGUUUCUGUGUAGACAAAGGUUAUAUGCUCGCUCACUAAUCUUUCAUGGCUUUGAGUUUAGCUUAUUGUUUAUGUUAAAGGCAUGUUUCUUUCCUCAUUCCCUUACCAUAAGAAACCAUAACGUUCAAAGACCCUCACCAUUUGUUUUCUUUAUUCGGGUACCUCCCUAGUUUUAAGAUUUUGUAUAAGAGGAGUUGUGCUCCUAGAUGUAGUUUGUCCAAAGGAUAAAGAAAACACAAAGAAAGUUCCUUUUUACUUGAAGUAACGUUGGCAUGUUCUGAGGAGGGUAAUGUUUUUUUCUUCUCUUUUUGUUAGCUGGAGAAAGGAUAGCCAACCAUGAUGUUGUUUUUGGUAUUUAGUCUGUGAUAUACGUGAUAUAAAGGCGUACUCCCCAGUGUUUUUUUUUCUAUUUGGAUGAAACGAGUAAGGCAGGUCCCAACUUAAGGAAAAAGGGUGGGGUUGUGAGGCACGAACAUAGGAUUUUAAGUUCAAAAUUUAGGUUUUAGAAUCCCUUCAGCAUAUGAACUUGCUUUUCUAGUUAUAGAAUUUUAAGUUGAAGUAGGCGAGUUGAAUCUUGUUUGAGUUGAGUUGGCUUUGAACAAUUUUUUUUUUAGUUAUUUUAAGCUUCAUGUAAAUCUUAGAAUAUAUGUGACAACUGGCUAAAUUUUAUUGUGAUGUUUGUGUUUAAUUGUGAUGCUUGAGUUUUGAUUAAAUAUAAAAAUAUAUUUAUGUGUUGCAUAUGGUCAAUACCUUACAAAAUAUUUUGAGCAUUUUUUUUUAGAAAAAUAAAUAUUCAAGAUUUCAAAAAAAAAAAUGUGUUUUAACAUAUAUUUCUUAAAUACAAAAAUUAUUUUCUUGUAUUUUGGAUUUUACAACAUGUUUUUAAAUUUCAAAAUGUUUUGGCCAUUAUUUAAAAAUCUUAUUUUUCAAUAAUUUAUCCUUAUUCACUAUCAAUAUUUGGAUACAUAAAUCUCACAUGGUUAAUAUUCAAAUAUUAUUGGGAAUAAUUUGACCCUCAAUUAACCAUUAAACUUUUAAUUUUCUUCAAUUCGACCCUCAAUUGACCAUUAAACUUUUAAUUUUUUUCAAUUUGACCUCUGAUUUCAAUCAAUUAAAUCCUCAUAGUUCGAUGCAUUUUUCAAAAUGGUCAUUGGUUGUGAAUUUCUUCUUUUUAACCCUUAAUUCACCUCCUAAAAAAACUUCCAUUUUCAUGCGAUUUUACCCUUGGUUUAAACCAAUUCACUUUGUAAAAAUUAAGUUUGGUCUCCAAAAAUUUCAAUCUUCUCAAUUAAGCCCAAAUUGGGCUUUCAAAUUUAAGUUUUCACCAAUUAAGCCCCUAAUAAAAUUAAUUUGACUCAUUUACAGUAUAAUUAAAUCUUAGCACCUAAUUAAAUCCUUCAAUUGGACCCAAAAUUAAUUCUUAAAUAUAAUUAAACUUUAAUUUGACCCAUGAUUAAAUCAAAUUGACCUAUUAAAAAUCUAAUUAUGUCCUUAGGCUUAAUUUUUAUGUAUAUUCGUUCAAUAAUAAUUUAAUUUGACCUUGAAUAUGCAUUGUUUCUUCCGUUGUGGGUAAAAUAGGGUACAAUUAGGUUGUUGAUUCUAUCUAAAAUUGCAGCUUAAAUUUCCUACAUUUGAAAUCCUUCCUCAAUUAUUUUUUUCCAUUUCGUUAGUCUCUUUAUUGUUAUUGUUUUAUUUUUAUUUUGAAAAGAAAAAAAAAUAAAUUUUAAGAAUAGCCCAAAAAUAAAUUAUGACAUAAGAUAUCGUUUAUUAUCUUAAAACAAAAAACACGGAGACAUGGAGAAUGAUAUAGAAUAUAAAACUUAGUCUGAGUUGUACUUGGAAAUGGUAUAUAAGACAAGUUGAAUAUUUUUAUUUUUUAUUUGGUUGAUGAACGACAAGGUAAGAUAAAAUACGAAAAGAGCUUGUUAUAUUAUUGCUAUCAAACUUACAAUGUUUGGAACAAUAAAUAAAAAUCAUUAUUUUUAUUUUAGUUUAUAAUAAGUAUUAAUUGUUUUUUAUCUAACUUAAAAUGGUAAUAUCUCCACUCAUCAAAAUCAUGUUAAUUUUAUUUUUUUUGUAAUCAUUGUAGAAAAGAUAAUCAUUUCAAAAAAAAAAAAUAGUAUAGUUAAAUUAUGUUUUGCUCAAUCAUUAAACAAAUAUUAAUUGUUAAAUAUUUCUCAACUUUGAAGUGGUUCAAUCAAGUGUGAAGAUAUUUAUUUCUCAAAAAACAAUGUUCAAGAAAUAUUAGGCAAGUUCAAAGUGAAUAAUUGUAAUUUAAUUAGUACACUAAUUGAAUUUGGUUUGAAACUAAAUAGAAAUCAAGAAGGAAAGAAGGUGAAAGACACCCUUUACAAGAAAGAGAAUUAUAGGGAGUUAAUUUGAUGUAUCUAACAAAUAAGAAGGCUAGAUAUAAUGUAUGCAAUAAGUCUUGUUAGUAGAUACAUGGAUAAUCCAAUAGGAAUUUAUCUUUUGAUGACUAAAAGGACAUUUCGAUACUUAAAAUGUAUUAUAAGUAUGGAUCACUCUACAUGAAAAGAGAAAAGUCUGAUUUGAUUGCCUUUACUGACAAUUAUUAUGCCGAAAAUCAAGUUGAUAUAAAAGGCAUUUGUAGAUAUGUUUUUAAACUUGGUUCAGGAGCUAUUUCAUGGUCAAGUAGUAUGGUUAAAAAAAAUUAUUGAAGAACUUUACUUGAAGAGACAAGAGCCUACAAUAUUUCUUUUGUGAUAAUUAAUCAAUAAUUAAACUCUAAAAUAAAUAUAGUUCAACAUAGCAGAUGAGUGCAUAUUGCUGUAAAGCUUCACUACUUAAGAGAAUUGAUAAAGAAUGGAAUGAUUGCAAUCAUCAAACAAGUUGCUAAUAUAUUCAGUGAGACUCUCCAAUUGAAGUUGUUGGUGAAACACAUAGGAUUACAUGGUAUUUGAACUCAAGAAGACCUUGUUUGAAGGAGAGUCUUUAAUUUACUAAUACGAGUGUUUAAGAAAAUCAAUUUAAGUUUGGUGAUCAGUUUAAUAUAAGGGGAUAAACAGUGUCACUAUAGUAUUUUUAGAUUUUCUUUUAGUUCAUAGUGUUAAUUUGUAAAAUUGAUCUUUAAUUCUUGUGUUAAUUUUCUAUGAUACAUUAUUUAUACAAGAGCAAGCAAAUUAAAACAGAAUCCAACACAUCAAAUCAAGCUAAUAUAACUUAUAAAGAUGAAUUGAAAUGAAAUAACAUUAAAUGGUUGAAGUGUAAGAAAAUUUAAAAAAACAAAAAACAAAACAGGGAUCUAAUAAAAAAAGGAGUGCAAAAACUAGACUGAAUUGUUGAAAAAAAAAAAACAGACCAUGUUUGUUUCCGCGGCUAGGCCAUGUUUUUCAAAAAAAAAAAAAGUAUUUUUGCUUCAAAUUAUUUUUAUAUUAUUUUAAUAUAUUAAUAUUAAAAAUAAAUUUAAAAAAUAAAAAAAUAUUCUCUCAUCGAACAACCAAGAAAAAGUUGUUCUUAUAUUAGUUGAUAGAAACUAUCCUCUCCCCUACAUGACAGCAUAGCUAGAAACCUACCAGAGAUUCCAUCUCAAAAUCAAAAUAUCUGCAGCUAUACAUCAAGCUUUCUCCAUCUCUACAUCCCAAGACAGAUGUUUCCCUGGGUCUACUACGAGUAUCCAUGCUUGUUUUAUUGAAUUCAGUGGGGUUUAUGAUCAAGAUUAUGAAUUUUUCUUGUUUUUAGAAAACAAAUUAACAAUGCAUAAACAUUUUUUUUUUUUGUUAUUUUUUUUUUAUGUUGACCCACGAAGUAACAUGAACCAACUUUCUAGUUAACAUAAACUAAAAUAGUGUAAAUUCAUGGUUCAUCUUCUCAAAGCAUUAAAAUAGUAAAAUAAUGAAUUCAUCAUUUAUUUUUAAUAUUAAUUUUAUUAAGAACUAAGUUUGUAAUAUUAAUUUUAUUAAAAAUUAAAUUUGUAAUUUAUUUUAAUUUAUCUUCUGUAUAGAUUAUGAUGUCUUAAUAACAACACUCUAACCCAGCAACUCCAACCGAAUAAUGUUCAACAGUUAUAAAGUGUAUUAUGCAUGAAUUUAAUUAAGUGGUAUAUCAUCAAUAUGUCUAAAUAAAAAUAAUAAGACUCGAACUUAAAAUUCUCCUUCCUAUCAUCAGAAUUCAUCCAAUAACUAAAUAAUAUAUAACGUGGGAAUGAAUCUAUAUGGAAAGAUUUCAAGAGUUUGAGGUAUCUUUAUAAAAGUUAAGUUGAAAGCCAAAACGAAAAGAAAAGAAAAGGUAAUAGCAUAAAAUAAGCUGAUAAAGUUUAUAUUGAGACAUAUCAUCAAACCAACACAGAAUACAGCCAUGCUAAUAGGAGUAAUCAUUUUUUAUUCGGUUUAAUUCGAUUUUUAUAUAAAAAAAAAAUUAAUUUUUUUAAAUAAAAAAAACCAAAACCGGUUUCGCUUGGUUUUUCAGUUUGGCUCGAUUUUGGCUCGGCUUUUUCCGGUUUGGCUUGGUUUUUGCGGUUUGGCUCGGUUUGUUUUGGGUUCGAUUUUUUCGGUUUUAGGCUUAUAAAACCAAAACCAAACUAAACCAGUCGGUUUUUUCAAAAUUUUAAUCAAUUUAAUUGGGUUUUUUUUCACAAUUUAGUUUUUUAAUUAUUAUUUUUCAUGUUUUCUCGGUUUUUUGGUUUUUUUCUCACGCUUAAAACCAAUAUAUCCUUGUGGGUCUCUAUUUCUCUGCUUACAAAUUUGUCUCUUAAAAAAAAACAAACAUUAAAAAAAAAAAUAUGUCAUUAAUUUCAAAAUAAUUAAGUUAUUAAUUAUUGGGUUUUGCAUCUUGAGAAUAUUCCAAACAAAUUUGAAGUUCAUCGAAAGAUCAAUUUGAAGUUCAUCGAAAGAUCAAUUAUUUCAAAUUUAUCUACUAAUUUUUUAGUUUGAUUAGAAUUCAAAAUAUAUCCUAUAAAUGAUUAUAAAACUUAACAAUAUAUUUUACACUUUAUUUCAUACACAACAUACAUUUUACAUUAGAAAAAAGCCAUAAGACAUACAUUGUAUUUAUUUUAACAAAACAAGAGCUAUUAAACUUGGACAUUUCUCUCGCAAUAAA
rnacentral:lncRNA from 1 species